UACGUAGGGUGCAAGCGUUGUUCGGAAUUAUUGGGCGUAAAGCGCGUGUAGGUGGCUAGUAAAGUCGGGUGUGAAAGCCCUGGGCUCAACCCGGGAAGUGCAUUCGAUACUGGCUGGCUAGAAGAUGGUAGAGGUAGGUGGAAUUCCAAGUGUAGAGGUGAAAUUCGUAGAUAUUUGGAGGAAUACCGGCGGCGAAGGCGGCCUACUGGGCCAUUCUUGACACUGAGACGCGAAAGCGUGGGGAGCAAAC
rnacentral:rRNA from 1 species